CUGCUGCCUUCCGUAGGAGUUUGGGCCGUGUCUCAGUCCCAAUGUGGCCGUCCGCCCUCUCAGGCCGGCUACUGAUCGUCGCUUUGGUGGGCCUCUACCCCGCCAACUGGCUAAUCAGACGCGGGCCCCUCCCAUACCACUAUUGUUUUUCACACAGAACCAUGCGGUCCCGUGCGCUUAUGCGGUAUUAGCAGCCGUUUCCGGCUGUUAUCCCCCUGUAUGGGGCAGGUUGCCCACGCGUUACUCACCCGUCCGCCA
rnacentral:rRNA from 1 species